rnacentral:lncRNA from 1 species
GAAUCUGGAAAAACACGUGAAUCAAAAUAAAACUUGAUUCACCUUUCCAGGUCAGAGUUACAAGUGUCAAAACUCUCAGGUGGGAUCUGCCCGUGACGUUCUGACCGCGUGCCUCUCUGCAAGGAAAGUGUCUCCACCAGGUGUGCGAGAGGAAAAGAGGCGGUGUUGAGCCACAUGGAGGACUUGAUGUGAUUCAUGUGUGCUUAGACAGUAAAAUCUGAGAGAAAAUUUGAAUUCUGA